CCUACGGGAGGCAGCAGUGAGGAAUUUUCCGCAAUGGGCUAACGCCUGACGGAGCAAUGCCGCGUGGAGGAGGAAGGCCUGUGGGUCGUAAACUCCUUUUCUCAGAGAAGAAGAUCUGACGGUAUCUGAGGAAUAAGCAUCGGCUAACUCUGUGCCAGCAGCCGCGGUAAUACAGGGGAUGCAAGCGUUAUCCGGAAUUAUUGGGCGUAAAGCGUCCUGGGGUGGCUUACCCAGUCGACUGUGAAAGCUCAAGGCUCAACCUUGAAACGGCAGUCGAAACUUGUAAGCUUGAGUACGGUAGAGGCAGAGGGAAUUCCCGGAGGAGAGGUGAAAUUCGUAGAUAUCGGGAGGAAGGCCAAAGGCGAAAGCACUCUGCUGGGCCGAUUACUGACACUGACAGACGAAAGCUAGGGGAGCGAAAGGGAUUAGAUACCCCUGUAGUCCUAGCCGUAAACGAUGGAUACUAAGUGUUGCGCGACUCAACUCGUAGCAGUGCUGCAGCUAACGCGGUAAGUAUCCCGCCUGGGGAUAGUGCUCGCAAGAGUGAAACUAGAAUGAGUGAGNGAGNGCCGAGGCCAGACGAGGA
rnacentral:rRNA from 1 species